GACGGGGGGGCAAGUGUUCUUCGGAAUGAUUGGGCGUAAGGGCACGUAGGCGUGAAUCGGGUUGAAAGUGAAAGUCGCCAAAAAGUGGCGGAAUGCUCUCGAAACCAAUUCACUUGAGUGAGACAGAGGAGAGUGGAAUUUCGUGUGUAGGGGUGAAAUCCGAUAGAUCUACGAAGGAACGCCAAAAGCGAAGGCAGCUCUCUGG
rnacentral:rRNA from 1 species